GGGAUGACAACUCAAACCAUUCUCCAUUAGCUUCUAGUCGACAUGUCCUCAACAAAUUUUGGGUUGAUUAACCGGGAGGUUGAAGAUAUAUUUCAGUCCUGCUGUUUUAAUGCCCGAGAGCAGAUGUUACUUAUGUCCCGGCUACAUCCAGAUUAUAUCAACUCCUGGUGGAAGACAGAACUGCAUCUAAGGGAGAGCUCAUUAAACAUAAUGCCACGUUUCAGGACAA